GCCCCGCGCGAGCGCCGCGGGCUCGGGACGCGAGCUGGGAGCUCCCGAGCCGGAGGGAAAAGGCGGGUCUCCGGCUUGUUUUGAUUCGGCUUCGCUGACACGCUCUGGCCCCGCCCCCGCCCGUGACGACACUGGGGAUUCGGCCUGGCCGCGCCCACCAGGUGACCUCACGGCGGAGCGGAGCGGACCGGCCGCGUGACGUCCCGCGCGAGCGCCGCGGGCUCGGGACGCGAGCUGGGAGCUCCCGAGCCGGAGGGAAAAGGCGGGUCUCCGGCUUGUUUUGAUUCGGCUUCGCUGACACGCUCUGGCCCCGCCCCCGCCCGUGACGACACUGGGGAUUCGGCCUGGCCGCGCCCACCAGGUGACCUCACGGCGGAGCGGAGCGGACCGGCCGCGUGACGUCACGCCCGCGCUGAGCCGGCCGCUUUCGAGUGACGUCAUCCUGACGCCCUCACGGGGGUCUGCGCAGCUCCUGGGCCUCUGCGAAGCGGCUUCGUCAAGUGGCGCCUGAGCCAACCCGGUGGCAUCCCGAGUAGUUACUGGGUGACCUCCUGACCUUCGUGUAAUCGAGGCUUAGAACAAUAUGAUCCGGAAAAACAGGCGGCUGACUGGAACAGAAGUGAGAACAAAGGAUUUCGGACUCAUAAUCCAUCAAAACACUUUGCCCUUCAAGAACAAUCUUGGGCUCAACCAGCUUCUUCCCAAACCUCAGGUCCCAGAUCAAACACACCCCUCCUUCAGAAUGUUGUGGCAGAAACACCUUCCCGGAGGAGCUAUCACAGGUAUCACUGUUUAUUUCUCUCAUCCAUCCCUCAUUAAGUUGUCAAUGUACAUGUUUACUUAUUCCUAUCUGUCUCCUUCUCACUCCCAUGAAAGCUCCAGAGGUAAUAGAUUUUAUCAGUCGUGGGCACCUCUGGGAACAACAGCUAGCUUGUAUUUACUGAGUAUAUAA
rnacentral:lncRNA from 1 species